rnacentral:rRNA from 1 species
UUGGUUAAGUUAGAAAGGGCGCACGGUGGAUGCCUUGGCACUAGGAGCCGAAGAAGGACGGGACUAACACCGAUAUGCUUUGGGGAGCUGUACGUAAGCGUUGAUCCAGAGAUUUCCGAAUGGGGGAACCCACUAUCUUUAGUCGGAUAGUAUCCUUACGUGAAUACAUAGCGUGAGGAAGGCAGACCCAGGGAACUGAAACAUCUAAGUACCUGGAGGAAGAGAAAGAAAAAUCGAUUUCCUGAGUAGCGGCGAGCGAAACGGAAAGAGCCCAAACCAAGAAGCUUGCUUCUUGGGGUUGUAGGACACUCUAUACGGAGUUACAAAAGAAAGUUAUAAAUGAAGCGGUCUGGAAAGGCCCGCCAAAGACGGUAACAGCCCGGUAGUUGAAAUGGCUUUCCCUCCAGAGUGGAUCCUGAGUACGGCGGAACACGUGAAAUUCCGUCGGAAUCCGGGAGGACCAUCUCCCAAGGCUAAAUACUCCCUAGUGACCGAUAGUGAACCAGUACCGUGAGGGAAAGGUGAAAAGCACCCCGGAAGGGGAGUGAAACAGUUCCUGAAACCGUGUGCCUACAAGUAGUUAGAGCCCGUUAAUGGGUGAUAGCGUGCCUUUUGUAGAAUGAACCGGCGAGUUACGAUUUGUUGCAAGGUUAAGCGGAAAAAGCGGAGCCGUAGCGAAAGCGAGUCUGAAUAGGGCGCAUAAGUAACAGGUCGUAGACCCGAAACCAGGUGAUCUACCCAUGUCCAGGAUGAAGGUAAGGUAAUACUUACUGGAGGUCCGAACCCACGCACGUUGAAAAGUGCGGGGAUGAGGUGUGGGUAGCGGAGAAAUUCCAAUCGAACUUGGAGAUAGCUGGUUCUCUCCGAAAUAGCUUUAGGGCUAGCCUCGAGGUAAAGAGUCAUGGAGGUAGAGCACUGUUUGGACUAGGGGCCCUUCUCGGGUUACCGAAUUCAGAUAAACUCCGAAUGCCAUGUACUUAUACUCGGGAGUCAGACUGCGAGUGAUAAGAUCCGUAGUCGAAAGGGAAACAGCCCAGACCACCAGUUAAGGUCCCCAAAUAUAUGUUAAGUGGAAAAGGAUGUGGGGUUGCUUAGACAACCAGGAUGUUGGCUUAGAAGCAGCCACCAUUGAAAGAGUGCGUAAUAGCUCACUGGUCGAGUGACCCCGCGCCGAAAAUGUACCGGGGCUAAACAUAUUACCGAAACUGUGGAUGAACCUCUUUAGAGGUUCGUGGUAGGAGAGCGUUCUAAGGGCGGUGAAGUCAGACCGGAAGGACUGGUGGAGCGCUUAGAAGUGAGAAUGCCGGUAUGAGUAGCGAAAGAAGGGUGAGAAUCCCUUCCACCGAAUAUCUAAGGUUUCCUGAGGAAGGCUCGUCCGCUCAGGGUUAGUCGGGACCUAAGCCGAGGCCGAUAGGCGUAGGCGAUGGACAACAGGUAGAGAUUCCUGUACCAGUGCUAAUUGUUUAACCGAUGGGGUGACACAGAAGGAUAGGGAAUCGCACGAAUGGAAAUGUGCGUCCAAGCAGUGAGUGUGAGAAGUAGGCAAAUCCGCUUCUCGCGAAGCAUGAGCUGUGAUGGGGAAGGAAAUUAAGUACGGAAGUUCCUGAUUUCACGCUGUCAAGAAAAGCCUCUAGGAAGAGUAGUACUGCCCGUACCGCAAACCGACACAGGUAGAUGAGGAGAGAAUCCUAAGGUGAGCGAGAGAACUCUCGUUAAGGAACUCGGCAAAAUGACCCCGUAACUUCGGGAGAAGGGGUGCUCUAUUAGGGUGCAAGCCCGAGAGAGCCGCAGUGAAUAGGCCCAGGCGACUGUUUAGCAAAAACACAGGUCUCUGCAAAACCGUAAGGUGACGUAUAGGGGCUGACGCCUGCCCGGUGCUGGAAGGUUAAGAGGAGUGCUUAGCUUCGGCGAAGGUACGAAUUGAAGCCCCAGUAAACGGCGGCCGUAACUAUAACGGUCCUAAGGUAGCGAAAUUCCUUGUCGGGUAAGUUCCGACCCGCACGAAAGGCGCAACGAUCUGGGCACUGUCUCAACGAGAGACUCGGUGAAAUUAUAGUACCUGUGAAGAUGCAGGUUACCCGCGACAGGACGGAAAGACCCCGUGGAGCUUUACUGCAACCUGAUAUGGAAUGUUUGUACCGCUUGUACAGGAUAGGUAGGAGCCGAAGAGACGUGUGCGCUAGCAUACGAGGAGGCAAUGGUGGGAUACUACCCUGGCUGUAUGACCAUUCUAACCCGCCACGCUUAGCGCGUGGGGAGACAGUGUCAGGUGGGCAGUUUGACUGGGGCGGUCGCCUCCUAAAGAGUAACGGAGGCGCCCAAAGGUUCCCUCAGAAUGGAUGGAAAUCAUUCGCAGAGUGUAAAGGCACAAGGGAGCUUGANGGAGGCGCCCAAAGGUUCCCUCAGAAUGGAUGGAAAUCAUUCGCAGAGUGUAAAGGCACAAGGGAGCUUGACUGCGAGACUGACAAGUCGAGCAGGGACGAAAGUCGGGCUUAGUGAUCCGGUGGUUCCGCAUGGAAGGGCCAUCGCUCAACGGAUAAAAGCUACCCCGGGGAUAACAGGCUUAUCUCCCCCAAGAGUCCACAUCGACGGGGAGGUUUGGCACCUCGAUGUCGGCUCGUCGCAUCCUGGGGCUGUAGUCGGUCCCAAGGGUUGGGCUGUUCGCCCAUUAAAGCGGCACGCGAGCUGGGUUCAGAACGUCGUGAGACAGUUCGGUCCCUAUCCGUCGCGGGCGCAGGAAAUUUGAGAGGAGCUGUCCUUAGUACGAGAGGACCGGGAUGGACACACCGCUGGUGUACCAGUUGUUCCGCCAGGAGCAUCGCUGGGUAGCUAUGUGUGGCAGGGAUAAACGCUGAAAGCAUCUAAGCGUGAAGCCCCCCUCAAGAUGAGAUUUCCCAUUUCUUCGGAAAGUAAGAUCCCUGAAAGAUGAUCAGGUAGAUAGGUUUGGAGUGGAAGUGUAGCGAUACAUGGAGCGGACAAAUACUAAUCGAUCGAGGACUUAACCAAAA